rnacentral:lncRNA from 1 species
AAUACAUCGAGAAAGACGCGGGCGCCGGUGCAAUUAUUCCGCUUGUGCACCCUGGACACGUGGCAGACUUUCAGUUGUUUACAACGCAACGCCUGCAACGGCAUAGCGUCGCUUUAUCGUCGUCUUUUGUAUGCGUGCCUACAGACGUGCUUAGAGCAUUCGGUACAUCAAUGUUCGAGACUAGCAGGUCAAUACAAUCGAAAUCGUCUUGGUUUCCGUGAAAGAGCUAUAAGAGGUUGACGAUUGCAACAACGGUAACAGCUCGAGCAACCUCAGGCCACUCACUUCGUUUCUGGGUGCAGUCGCGUUCCAUCACUUAGCUGUGUUGGCUAGCCUUUGACGCUAGCGAGCGAAGUCUUCGCUAACUCGCUUGUUACAGUAGCUGUUGUUUCACUGGUAGCUGGAUGCUAAUUCUUUAUGCAAGCGUAAAGUGCCCCACUCGUUCAAUGGCAAUCCCGUUUGUGUAAAAGUAGCUUUUCCUUUCCGGCGAUUUCAUUCUAUCCGUAUAUGUUCCCUGGCGUUACGUGUACAACUCUGCACAGUAGUGGGGAUUGCUUUGUGUGCCUGCAGCGUGUGCUGUCGUCUGGCUCAACUGCCUUGCCAUCUCUCCUCUUUGUUCAUCCUCUUCGUUUCUCACUUUUUUGCUUUUCUGUCUGGUAAACGCAUACUGCGAUCGGCCGGAAAGAUUUAUGAAUUGCCAGAUUGCUGUUGCCGCCGCCGCCGUCGCUGCUACCGCUGCUGCUUCCACUGUUAAGGCUCGACAAGCGUCAUGGCCGCCGCCUUUCACGUCGACGUUAGUUGUCCGUAUUGCUUUUCGUUUUCUUGCUGCUGCUGCUGCUGCUGCUGUUAGCAGCGCUGAAAAGAGGGAGCGGAGCUGGCAAAUACUCGAGCAACUUCAGCGGCCGACCCCAAGGCCCGAAGGGAGUAUGAAACUCAACUUGGCCAAACCCAGCAGACCAGCGGACGUCGCGGGCUGCCGUCACGCUUUUUCUUACCCUGCUUUGUACAUCGAGUCUUCACAGUGUACGAGCCUCGAUGAAUGUACGUGUAAGUGCGUAUGUGCAUCCGGCGUAGGGUUCACAGAUCGGCCGCGGCCUCCGGUACUUCAUGGCUACACUGUCUGCGUAGAAUAGUGCAGAAGUCUUGCAGGAUUUUUCGCAGCACAAUCUGCUGGCUUUUCGACAAGUCAGCACAUCGGCGCAUACGACUAACACCAACAUUAGCACACACAUUUGUUGGAUCUACUGGUCCAUAUAUAUCAGAUAUGUGUACCUAAAUACUGAAGUGCUGAUGCGGACUAAAGAGGGCCGCGGAAGAGCUGUAUUGACGACAAGUGAGGUUACUGAGUUUCUUUUAUUGCACCGAUGUGGUAAUAUGACGACAGUGUGAGUGUUGUACGUAUCGUACGAGCUUUAAUACGUACAUUGACUAACAUUACAUUUAACAGACGAAGACAACAGAGGAAUUGCCGAAAGCCACUUCAAUCGAUUCGUUGCGGCUGCGCCCUAUGCUUGCCGCUUUUCUCCUGGUUCAUUUUCGUGUGAAGACAACAACCCUCAACAACAGAGCUAGCAGAGGUGAAACAGCAGAAGCCAUACUAAGAAAAACAACAACGACGUUGCAGGCAAAAAAUUACGCUGCUCAAUUGGCUUACAAAGCAUUCCGUGCGCUCUUUGCGCGCCAUAUCGACUUACGUCAAGCGCAAGAAGCACAAGCUGUUGCUGCUGUACGACAACGGCAAGCGGCGAAGACACCGAAAAAAAAGCCAGUCAGCGGAGAGGAACUAACAGCAGCAAAAACAGAUGAAUCGCUCCGCUUCUGUAAUUGUUUUAAUUGCUUAUCUAAAACCAAGGAGCGCCUAUCUUAAGACGGAGCUGUCGUCGUCAUCGUCUCAAAGGCUUCUGUGUUCAUCCUGACGAGAAGGCAGCAACUUGCCGGCAAUACCGCAUCGCGUCGUCCAACUAUAUCUCAGCCGCAGUCAAGAUCGAUUGUCGGCGACUGUCUGGAUAAACAUGAAGACUGGAUAAGACACACACAGAGAUGCACACGGCGCUGGACAGCCGCGUGACUUACGGAUAUUCCUUCUUCUUUUGGUUGAUGAUUUCUCAGCUAGAGCGGGACGUCGCUCGAGACUCGUGAGGAUCUUCGAUGAAGGAUUGGGGCGUGAAAUGGCUCGGUGGCCCGUUAAACAUGACGUCAUUCUCGUCGUCGAGGUUCCUACCAUGUCUUUUGGUCGCUUGCUCCCUAUACAAAUUCGACCUUGCGGCUUUUGCUUGCCCGUCAAAAGCAAUAACCUCAACGUAGGCCGAAGCGCAGAGAAACGGUGACUAUGCCUGAAAAGGAAUCGUCGAGCAGUAGAAAUCCUUGUAAUAAUUAGCAGAUCAAGAGGAAACUCACCUUUUUUUGAGCCGGUACUCUUCAGA